rnacentral:rRNA from 1 species
UUGAUCCUGCCGGACCCGACUGCUAUCAGAGUGAGAUUAAGCCAUGCGAGUUAACGUAGCAAUACGUGGCGCACGGCUCAGUAACACGUAGUCAACAUGCCCAGGGGACGUGGAUAACCUCGGGAAACUGAGUCUAAACCGCGAUAUGUCAGGAUUUCUGGAAUGGUUCCUGACUAAAAUCUAUAUGGCCUCUGGAUUGGACUGCGGCCGAUCAGGCUGUUGGUGAGGUAAUGGCCCACCAAACCUGUAACCGGUACGGGCUCUGAGAGGAGGAGCCCGGAGAUGGGCACUGAGACAAGGGCCCAGGCCCUAUGGGGCGCAGCAGGCGCGAAACCUCUGCAAUAGGCGAAAGCCUGACAGGGUUACUCUGAGUGACUUUCGCUAAGAAAGUCUUUUGGCACCUCUAAAAAGGGUGCAGAAUAAGGGGUGGGCAAGUCUGGUGUCAGCCGCCGCGGUAAUACCAGCACCCCGAGUGGUCGGGACGAUUAUUGGGCCUAAAGCAUCCGUAGCCGGUUCUGCAAGUCCUCCGUUAAAUCCAGCUGCUCAACAGAUGGGCUGCGGAGGAUACUACAGAGCUAGGAGGCAGGAGAGGCAAGCGGUACUCAGUGGGUAGGGGUAAAAUCCGUUGAUCCAUUGAAGACCACCAGUGGCGAAGGCGGCUUGCCAGAAUGCGCUCGACGGUGAGGGAUGAAAGCUGGGGGAGCAAACCGGAUUAGAUACC